rnacentral:rRNA from 1 species
AUUGAACGCUGGCGGCAUGCUUUACACAUGCAAGUCGAACGGUAACAGGCCGCAAGGUGCUGACGAGUGGCGAACGGGUGAGUAAUGCAUCGGAACGUGCCCAGUCGUGGGGGAUAACUACUCGAAAGAGUAGCUAAUACCGCAUACGAUCUAUGGUUGAAAGCGGGGGACCGUAAGGCCUCGCGCGAUUGGAGCGGCCGAUGUCAGAUUAGGUAGUUGGUGGGGUAAAGGCUCACCAAGCCAACGAUCUGUAGCUGGUCUGAGAGGCCGACCAGACACACUGGGACUGAGACACGGCCCAGACUCCAACGGGAGGCAGCAGUGGGGAAUUUUGGACAAUGGGCGCAAGCCUGAUCCAGCAAUGCCGCGUGCAGGAAGAAGGCCUUCGGGUUGUAAACUGCUUUUGUACGGAACGAAACGGCUCUGGUUAAGACCCGGAGCUAAUGACGGUACCGGAAGAAUAAGCACCGGCUAACUACGUG